rnacentral:rRNA from 1 species
UGGGGAAUUUUGGACAAUGGGCGAAAGCCUGAUCCAGCAAUGCCGCGUGUGUGAAGAAGGCCUUCGGGUUGUAAAGCACUUUUGUCCGGAAAGAAAUCCUUGGCUCUAAUACAGUCGGGGGAUGACGGUACCGGAAGAAUAAGCGCCGGCUAACUACGUGCCAGCAGCCGCGGUAAUACGUAGGGUGCAAGCGUUAAUCGGAAUUACUGGGCGUAAAGCGUGCGCAGGCGGUUUGCUAAGACCGAUGUGAAAUCCCCGGGCUCAACCUGGGAACUGCAUUGGUGACUGGCAGGCUAGAGUAUGGCAGAGGGGGGUAGAAUUCCACGUGUAGCAGUGAAAUGCGUAGAGAUGUGGAGGAAUACCGAUGGCGAAGGCAGCCCCCUGGGCCAAUACUGACGCUCAUGCACGAAAGCGUGGGGAGCAAACAGGAUUAGAUACCCUGGUAGUCCACGCCCUAAACGAUGUCAACUAGUUGUUGGGGAUUCAUUUCCUUAGUAACGUAGCUAACGCGUGAAGUUGACCGCCUGGGGAGUACGGUCGCAAGAUU